rnacentral:misc_RNA from 1 species
GGGAAGUAUAAAAUUAGCAAUACAGAAGCAAGAAUAGGAGUAUCCCCCACCUAGAUCCAUGGAUCACUUGCCCAAACAAAUGAAGGAUCAAGUUUCCCUGUCAUAUCUAGAUCCCUGGAUCACAUUCCUCCUAUUGGAUUUGCUACUACACUAUAGGCAUACUGCCUCGAGCUUGCGUGUAUUAGUAGCUCCUGCUGACUGCUGUAACUUAAGUAUAACCACC